AUUGAACGCUGGCGGCAUGCCUUACACAUGCAAGUCGAACGGCAGCACGGGAGCAAUCCUGGUGGCGAGUGGCGAACGGGUGAGUAAUACAUCGGAACGUGCCCAAUCGCGGGGGAUAACGCAGCGAAAGCUGUGCUAAUACCGCAUACGAUCUACGGAUGAAAGCAGGGGAUCGCAAGACCUUGCGCGAAUGGAGCGGCCGAUGGCAGAUUAGGUAGUUGGUGAGGUAAAGGCUCACCAAGCCGUCGAUCUGUAGCUGGUCUGAGAGGACGACCAGCCACACUGGGACUGAGACACGGCCCAGACUCCUACGGGAGGCAGCAGUGGGGAAUUUUGGACAAUGGGCGAAAGCCUGAUCCAGCCAUGCCGCGUGCAGGAUGAAGGCCUUCGGGUUGUAAACUGCUUUUGUACGGAACGAAACGGCCUUUUCUAAUAAAGAGGGCUAAUGACGGUACCGUAAGAAUAAGCACCGGCUAACUACGUGCCAGCAGCCGCGGUAAUACGUAGGGUGCAAGCGUUAAUCGGAAUUACUGGGCGUAAAGCGUGCGCAGGCGGUUGUGUAAGACAGUUGUGAAAUCCCCGGGCUCAACCUGGGAACUGCAUCUGUGACUGCAUAGCUAGAGUACGGUAGAGGGGGAUGGAAUUCCGCGUGUAGCAGUGAAAUGCGUAGAUAUGCGGAGGAACACCGAUGGCGAAGGCAAUCCCCUGGACCUGUACUGACGCUCAUGCACGAAAGCGUGGGGAGCAAACAGG
rnacentral:rRNA from 1 species